rnacentral:rRNA from 1 species
UGGGGAAUAUUGGACAAUGGGCGCAAGCCUGAUCCAGCCAUGCCGCGUGAGUGAUGAAGGCCUUAGGGUUGUAAAGCUCUUUCGCCGGUGAAGAUAAUGACGGUAACCGGAGAAGAAGCCCCGGCUAACUUCGUGCCAGCAGCCGCGGUAAUACGAAGGGGGCUAGCGUUGCUCGGAAUCACUGGGCGUAAAGCGCACGUAGGCGGAUCGUUAAGUCAGGGGUGAAAUCCUGGAGCUCAACUCCAGAACUGCUCUUGAUACUGGCGAUCUCGAGUUCGAGAGAGGUUGGUGGAACUCCGAGUGUAGAGGUGAAAUUCGUAGAUAUUCGGAAGAACACCAGUGGCGAAGGCGGCCAACUGGCUCGAUACUGACGCUGAGGUGCGAAAGCGUGGGGAGCAAAACAGGAUUAGAUACCCUGGUAGUCCACGCCGUAAACGAUGGAUGCUAGCCGUUGGGGGGUUUACCUCUCAGUGGCGCAGCUAACGCCUUAAGCAUCCCGCCUGGGGAGUACGGUCGCAAGAUUAAAACUUAAAUGAAUUGACGGGGUCAUAGCUGUUUU